rnacentral:rRNA from 1 species
UACGGAGGGAGCUAGCGUUGUUCGGAAUUACUGGGCGUAAAGCGCACGUAGGCGGCUCAGCAAGUCAGGGGUGAAAUCCCGGGGCUCAACCCCGGAACUGCCCUUGAAACUGCUAAGCUAGAAUCUUGGAGAGGCGAGUGGAAUUCCGAGUGUAGAGGUGAAAUUCGUAGAUAUUCGGAAGAACACCAGUGGCGAAGGCGACUCGCUGGACAAGUAUUGACGCUGAGGUGCGAAAGCGUGGGGAGCAAACGGG